AGGUAACCUACCCUCAGGACUGAGAUAACCCCGGGAAACUGGGGCUAAUAUUAGAUAGAUAAAAGAUACUGGAAUGUUCUUUUAUCCAAAGCUUUUGCGCCUGAGGAUGGGCCUGCGCCCGAUUAGGUUGUUGGUGGGGUAAUGGCCCACCAAGCCUACGAUCGGUACGGGCAGUGGGAGCUGAAGCCCGGAGUUGGGGACUGAGACAAGGCCCCAGGCCCUACGGGGCGCAGCAGGCGCGAAACCUCUGCAAUGCGGGAAACCGUGACAGGGGGAUUCCAAGUGCUCAUGCAUUGCAUGGGCUGUUCUUUGGUCUAAGUAACCAGAGGAGUAAGGGCUGGGCAAGACCGGUGCCAGCCGCCGCGGUAAUACCGGCAGCUCAAGUGGUAGCCGCGAUUAUUGGGCCUAAAACGUUCGUAGCCGGAUAAGUAAGUCUUUGGUUAAAUCCUGCGACUUAACCGUGGGAAAUCUAGAGAUACUGCUUGUCUUGAGACCGGGAGAGGUUGGAGGUACUCCCAGGGUAGGGGUGAAAUCCUGUAAUCCUGGGGGGACCACCUGUGGCGAAGGCGUCCAACUGGAACGGGUCUGACGGUGAGGGACGAAACCUAGGGGAGCGAGCCGGAUUAGAUACCCGGGUAGUCCUAGGCGUAAAUGAUGCGAGUUAAGUGUGGGGGCAUCCACGAGAUGGCCCUGUGCUGUAGGGUAGCCGUUAAACUCGCUGCCUGGGGAGUACGGUCGCAAGGCUGAAACUUAA
rnacentral:rRNA from 1 species